rnacentral:rRNA from 1 species
CCUACGGGAGGCAGCAGUGAGGAAUAUUGGUCAAUGGGCGCGAGCCUGAACCAGCCAAGUCGCGUGAGGGAAGACGGUCCUAUGGAUUGUAAACUUCUUUUGUCGGGGAGCAAAAGACGCCACGCGUGGCGGUCAGAGAGUACUCGAAGAAAAAGCAUCGGCUAACUCCGUGCCAGCAGCCGCGGUAAUACGGAGGAUGCGAGCGUUAUCCGGAUUUAUUGGGUUUAAAGGGUGCGCAGGCGGAAGAUUAAGUCAGCGGUAAAAUUGAGAGGCUCAACCCCGUCGAGCCGUUGAAACUGGUUGUCUUGAGAGGGUGAGAGGUAUGCGGAAUGCGUGGUGUAGCGGUGAAAUGCAUAGAUAUCACGCAGAACUCCGAUUGCGAAGGCAGCAUACCGGCGCUCAACUGACGCUGAUGCACGAAAGUGUGGGUAUCGAACAGGAUUAGAUACCCGUGUAGUC